CAGUAGCCGCGGUAAUGCGAAGGGGGCUAGCGUUGCUCGGAUUUACUGGGCGUAAAGGGCGCGUAGGCGGACAGUUUAGUCGGGGGUGAAAGCCCGGGGCUCAACCUCGGAAUUGCCUUCGAUACUGGCUGUCUUGAGUACGGGAGAGGUGAGUGGAACUCCGAGUGUAGAGGCGAAAUUCGUAGAUAUUCGGAAGAACACCAGUGGCGAAGGCGACUCACUGGCCCGUUACUGACGCUGAGGCGCGAAAGCGUGGGGAGCAAACAGGAUUAGAUACCCCCGUAGUCCCUGUCUCUUAUAC
rnacentral:rRNA from 1 species